rnacentral:rRNA from 1 species
GAGCACGUAGGUGGGUUUGUAAGUCAGAUGUGAAAGCCUUCUGUUCAACAGAAGAAUUGCAUCUGAAACUGCGAGUCUUGAGUGUAGGAGGGGAGAAUGGAACUUCUGGUGGAGCGGUGAAAUGCGUAGAUAUCAGAAGGAGCGCCGGCGGCGAAAGUGAUUCUCUGGCCUAUUACUGACACUCAGUGUGCGAAAGCUAGGGGAGCAAACGGGAUUAGAUACCCCGGUAGUCCUAGCCGUAAACGAUGGGCACUAAGUAGAGGGAAUUACCGAUGUUCUCUCUGCCGUAGCUAACGCAUUAAGUGCCCCGCCUGGGGAGUACGGCCGCAAGGCUAAAACUCAAAAGAAUUGACGGGGGCUCGCACAAGCGGUGGAGCAUGUGGCUUAAUUCGAUGCAACGCGAAAAACCUUACCGGGGCUUGACAUGGUAGAAGUAGGAACCCGAAAGGGUAACGAACGGUAUCCAGUCCGUAGCUAUCACAGGUGUUGCAUGGCUGUCGUCAGCUCGUGUCGUGAGACGUUGGGUUAAGUCCCCUAACGAGCGAAACCCUUGUUUUUAGUUACCAGCGGGUUAUGCCGGGUACUCUAGAAAGACUGCCGUCGUCAAGACGGAGGAAGGUGGGGAUGACGUCAAGUCAUCAUGGCCCUUAUGCCCCGGGCUGCACACGUGCUACAAUGGUCGGUACAAACGGAAGCGAAGCCGAGAGGUGAAGCGAAUCC